rnacentral:tRNA from 1 species
GCAAUAAUAGCUCAAGUUAGAGCAUUGGUCUUGUAAAUCAAAGGUUGAAUAUUAUACAUUCUUAUUGCU